rnacentral:rRNA from 1 species
AUUGAACGCUGGCGGCAUGCCUUACACAUGCAAGUCGAACGGUAACAGGUCUUCGGAUGCUGACGAGUGGCGAACGGGUGAGUAAUACAUCGGAACGUGCCUAGUAGUGGGGGAUAACUACUCGAAAGAGUGGCUAAUACCGCAUGGGAUCUACGGAUGAAAGCAGGGGAUCGCAAGACCUUGUGCUACUAGAGCGGCCGAUGGCAGAUUAGGUAGUUGGUGGGAUAAAAGCUUACCAAGCCGACGAUCUGUAGCUGGUCUGAGAGGACGAUCAGCCAAACUGGGACUGAGACACGGCCCAGACUCCUACGGGAGGCAGCAGUGGGGAAUUUUGGACAAUGGGCGCAAGCCUGAUCCAGCAAUGCCGCGUGCAGGAUGAAGGCCUUCGGGUUGUAAACUGCUUUUGUACGGAACGAAAAGCCCUGGGUUAAUACCCUGGGGUCAUGACGGUACCGUAAGAAUAAGCACCGGCUAACUACGUGCCAGCAGCCGCCGCGGUAA